GGGGCCUUAUCUCAGCGGUAGAGAGUCUGAUUCCAGCUUUGGAGCAUCCAGAAGGUCGUCCGUUCGAUCCGGGCAGGCCUCA
rnacentral:tRNA from 1 species